rnacentral:rRNA from 1 species
UACGUAGGGUGCGAGCGUUAAUCGGAAUUACUGGGCGUAAAGCGUGCGCAGGCGGUUCGUUAAGUUCGAUGUGAAAGCUCCGGGCUCAACCCGGAAAUGGCAUUGAAGACUAUUGAGCUAGAGGUUUGGAGGGGGGACUGGAAUGCUUGGUGUAGCAGUGAAAUGCGUAGAUAUCAAGCGGAACACCGGUGGCGAAGGCGAGUCCCUGGACAACACCUGACACUGAGGCACGAAAGCUAGGGGAGCAAACAGG